UACGUAGGGGGCAAGCGUUGUCCGGACUUAUUGGGCGUAAAGAGCGUGUAGGCGGCCAGACAAGUCUGCUGUGAAAACUCGAGGCUCAACCUCGAGCUGUCGGUGGAAACUGUCUGGCUAGAGUCCGGAAGAGGAGAGUGGAAUUCCUGGUGUAGCGGUGAAAUGCGCAGAUAUCAGGAAGAACACCUAUGGCGAAGGCAGCUCUCUGGGACGGUACUGACGCUGAGACGCGAAAGCGUGGGGAGCGAACAGG
rnacentral:rRNA from 1 species